GAGGAUGAGAGGAAGAAAGAGGCUCCAUUCAAUUAUCUCCUCCUGGCGUUGCCAUGGUAACGGCUCCGGGAAGCGGGUCAGAACUUUCUCAGUGGCAACAAACAGCAGCUCUCAUUCACCACCACCCAAGCCUGCUGGCCACACUGGCUGCUUGUGCCGGCGGCCCCGGCAGGGACAGGGGGUUGAGGAACCAUUCUUCUGUCACCUGCUCCGGGGACAGGAGGGGGUGGGGAGGCUGGGGAGGCUGCCUCGGAAGGUCAAAGCCAGAGAACUCUGAGUAUGGAGGACCCUUCCUCUCCUAGCUAGAGGCGCUCCUGGACACCACCGUGGGAGCCGCCCGCCCGCCUGCCUGCCUGCCUGCCCUACUUCUCUCCCCAGGCAGCGUGAACAAUGUGGUGACCUGAAUCUGGGUCCCUUCCUUCCAUGGUGACUGGGCAGAACCACUGAGCUUUGUUUUCUCUCGGAACACUUUAAAUUCUUGGACAGACACGGGUGGUUCCAGGGUGUGGAUACGGAUGGAAGAAUGGCUGCAUCCAAACAGAGACGGACAGGACAGCACCAGCUCUAUCCUUUCUCAUCUUUUGCCCCAUCCUAUCCCCGCAUCUCUAAAAGAAACCAAGCAACAGUGUAGUAA